GAAGCGGAAGUGGCGUCCUGCCUGGAGCACAAGCUGCGGCCAGUGUCUACCAGAAAUACAGAAAAAUUUGACUCCCAUCGGCUAAAAGACCGAAGAACAAGAGACUGAGGCGCAUAUUUUACACGGCAGAGCUAACCAGGUCUCCAGGCCUUCCCAGCUGUAAUGGUUUGUAUAUCCUUGGACCAGGGAGUGGCACCAUCUGGAGGUGUGGCCUUGUUGGAAUAGAUGUGACCUGGUUGGAGAAGGUGUGUCACUGUGGGUGUGGACAUAAGAUCCUCACCUUAGUUGUCUAGAAGUCAGUCUUCCACUAGCAUCCUGUGCAGAGGAUGAAGACAUAGAACUCUCAGCUCCUCCUGCGCCAUGCCUGCCUGGAUACUGCCAUGCUCCCACCUUGAUGAUAAUGGACUGAACCUCUGAACCUGUAAGCCAGCCCCAAGUAAUGUUGUUUUUUUAUAAGACUUGCCUUGGUCAUGGUGUCUGUUCACAGCAGUAAAACCCUAACUAAGACACCAGCAUCUCUCAGACCCUACCUGGCAUACCAUACCCUGCCCUCAACCCUGAAGUUUCCAGCCCAGGGCUGAGCUGCCCUUUACCCAGAGGCUCCUCCUUACAUAAACCAGACACACACACACACACUCACACACUCUCUCUCUCUCCCUCUCUCUCUCCUGCUCUUCUCGUUCUCUCUUUCUUUUUCCCCUCUCCUUUCUCUCAUCCUCUUCUCUUCUUUCUUUGCGGGGCUCACCCUUUCACCCUUUCUCUCCUUGUUCCUCUCCUCCCCACGGUGACUUCCCUGGCAUCCUUCCUUGGGGCCAGUGAACUUGCCCACUCCUCCAGAGCAGCUUCCCAAUAAACCUUCCUUUAAUAUAUUCUAA